rnacentral:rRNA from 1 species
UGGCGCCUACGGGAGGCAGCAGUGGGGAAUAUUGCACAAUGGGGGAAACCCUGAUGCAGCGACGCCGCGUGAGUGAUGAAGUAUUUCGGUAUGUAAAGCUCUAUCAGCAGGGAAGAUAAUGACGGUACCUGACUAAGAAGCUCCGGCUAAAUACGUGCCAGCAGCCGCGGUAAUACGUAUAGAGCAAGCGUUAUCCGGAUUUACUGGGUGUAAAGGGAGCGCAGACGGAAGGGCAAGUCUGAUGUGAAGGUCCGGGGUUCAACCCCGGGACUGCAUUGGAAACUG